rfam:Amborella trichopoda AMTR_V1.0_contig_19868, whole genome shotgun sequence.
GUGUUUGCUGGUGUAGCAUCAUCAAGAUUCACAUCUUGUAAGAGAUCCCUUUGAAUCGGUGGGAUCACACUUCACUACAUAAGAUCACGAUUUAGAGAGGGAAAGCUGACCAUAAGAUGGGAAUCUUGAUGAUGCUGCAUCGGCAAUAAG